CUCCACUUCGGGUCACGGUGAGUCUUCGGUAAUAGGGGUUUGACGCUCAAGUUCACGGUCCCACGGCAAGUUCAUUUGGGAAUAGCUCCCUUUACUCGGGUGGAUCUGUUGAGCGUGGACUCGAUCGAGGGGCAUAACCAAGUAUCAGGUAAGGGUACAGCGAGGGGCAGACCGACGAGGGGCAAGAAGGAUGCGUGAAGGCCAUAUGGACGCGUCUGGUUUUCUUUAUGCUUCCGCUGAUGUAUUUUGUUAGAAUAUUUGGUUUUGUGAUUUUGAGUUUGAUGACUUGAGUAUUGUAUUUGAAACUCUCGUGACUGUGAUUUAAAAUAGGGCCCGAAACUGCUUUUGUAA